rnacentral:rRNA from 1 species
ACUUAAAGGAAUUGGCGGGGGAGCACCGCAACGGGAGGAGCGUGCGGUUCAAUUGGAUUCAACGCCGAAAAACUCACCAGGAGCGACGGAUAUAUGAAGGUCAAGCUGAUGACUUUACCUGAUUUUCCGAGAGGUGGUGCAUGGCCGUCGUCAGCUCGUACCGUAAGGCGUUCUCUUAAGUGAGAUAACGAACGAGACCCUCACCAUUAAUUGCUAGUCCCUUCUCCGGAGGGGGCGCACAUUAAUGGGACCGCUGGCGCUAAGUCAGAGGAAGGAGAGGUCAACGGUAGGUCCGUAUGCCCCGAAUCCCCUGGGCAACACGCGCGCUACAAAGGGUGGGACAAUGGGCUUCGACACCGAAAGGUGAAGACAAUCCUGAAACCCAUCCAUAGUUCGG